GACGAACGCUGGCGGCGUGCCUAAUACAUGCAAGUCGAACGAACAGAGGCUAAGUGCUUGCGAUGAGUCAAGGAGAGGGGCGAAAGGGUGCGUAACACGUCGGGACCCUAGCUAAUAGUGGGGGAUAAAAGACGGAAAAGACCACACAAACUGCAUAUGACAUCGGGUGACCGGAACCCGUGGGGAGAGGUGGCGCAAGCAAUCGCGAUGAGAUAGACCGGCGGUGCAAUAGCUAGUUGGUCGGGUAAAGGCAUACCAAGGCAAUGAUGCGUAGCCGACCUGAGAGGAUGAUCAGCCACAUUGGGACUGAGACACGGCCCAGACUCCUACGGGAGGCAGCAGUGGGGAAUUUUGCGCAAUGGGCGCAAGUCUGACGGAGCAACGCCGCGUGAGGGAAGAAGGUCUUCGGGUCGUAAAGCUCUUUUGUAAGGGAAGAACAGCGUAUGGAGAAACCGCUAUGCGUGUGACGGUAUCGAACCAAAAAGCCACGGCUAACUACGUG
rnacentral:rRNA from 1 species